CCACCGCGGCCGCCACCGGCGAGCCGACGGCGUUCGCGACGGCGAGGGACCCGGCAGCGGCACCGCCCGCGCCGUACGACCCGGUGGCGGUGGA
rnacentral:tRNA from 1 species